UCAGAGGUGAAAUCCUGCAGCUCAACUGUAGAAUUGCCUUUGAUACUGAAAGACUUGAGUUAUUGUGAAGUGGUUAGAAUGUGUGGUGUAGCGGUGAAAUGCAUAGAUAUCACACAGAAUACCAAUUGCGAAGGCAGAUCACUAACAAUAUACUGACGCUCAGGGACGAAAGCGUGGGUAGCGAACAGGAUUAGAUACCCUGGUAGUCCACGCCGUAAACGAUGGAUACUAGCUGUAUGUCUACUUCAGGUAGAUGUGUGGCUAAACGAAAGUGAUAAGUAUCCCACCUGGGGAGUACCAUCGCAAGAUUGAAACUCAAAUGAAUUGACGG
rnacentral:rRNA from 1 species